CCUACGGGGGGCAGCAGUGGGGAAUAUUGCGCAAUGGGCGAAAGCCUGACGCAGCGACGCCGCGUGAGGGAUGAAGGUCUUCGGAUCGUAAACCUCUGUCAGCAGGGAAGAACGGUCACUGUGCUAAUCAGCAGUGAAUUGACGGUACCUGCAAAGGAAGCACCGGCUAACUCCGUGCCAGCAGCCGCGGGAAUACGGAGGGUGCGAGCGUUAAUCGGAAUUACUGGGCGUAAAGCGCUCGUAGGCGGUAUGUCAAGUCAAGGGUGAAAUCCCCGCGCUCAACGUGGGAACUGCCUUUGAAACUGGCAAACUGGAGUGUGUGAGAGGAUAGUGGAAUUCCAGGUGUAGGAGUGAAAUCCGUAGAUAUCUGGAGGAACAUCAGUGGCGAAGGCGACUAUCUGGAACAUAACUGACGCUGAGGAGCGAAAGCGUGGGUAGCAAACAGGAUUAGAUACCCCAGUAGUC
rnacentral:rRNA from 1 species